UUUGCUCCACAUUCGCUGAAAAUCCAAAGUCUUUAGUCGCGAAGAAAAUUCGUGUAUUUCAUAUUCAAAAUUAAAAAUAUAGUGGAAAACAAAGCCUAAUAAUUAUAAAAUUAAGCACAAAUACAAGUUCAAAUGAAAUACUAACGAAUAUGUAGAUUCUUAUUAACUAGAGCUGCAGUUACAAAUAAGCAAAAUCCUGAACAACAGAACCUAAAGUGGCAACCAAAAAGAACCUGCAACAUUAUGAUUUAAUAAGCAGCAGCAGGAGUAGAAAAAUAGCAUAAAUCUCUUUCGCGAAUACAAGAAA